UACGUAGGGGGCUAGCGUUGUUCGGAUUCAUUGGGCGUAAAGGGUGCGUAGGUGGCGCUGUAAGUCGGGUGUGAAAUUUCGGAGCUUAACUCCGAAACUGCAUUCGAUACUGCGGUGCUUGAGGACUGGAGAGGAGACUGGAAUUCAUGGUGUAGCAGUGAAAUGCGUAGAGAUCAUGAGGAAGACCAGUGGCGAAGGCGGGUCUCUGGACAGUUCCUGACACUGAGGCACGAAGGCCAGGGGAGCAAACGGG
rnacentral:rRNA from 1 species